UGUGCAGCAUCCACCUGGAUGAUGCGACGGCACCUAUAUUGCGCCAGAACGCUCACCACACACCAGCUUACUCGUGGAGAGGAGAUCAUGCUGGUGUCCUGCUGAACCCCCUCCACAGCUAUAAACUCUACUAGUGUGUUUUAAAAUACGUUGGCCAACGAUACAGACACCAUACUAUCCAACUCAAAGAUGAGAUGUAAUCGUUUGACCCUGUCAUUCUUCAGGACAAGAUCUUGAUGGCAUCCACACUCAGUACAUGACGGAAGGAGCGAUAAGAAAGUACCCAGAAUGGGUUACAA